rnacentral:rRNA from 1 species
UACGAGGGAGGGCUAGCGUUGUUCGGAAUCACUGGGCGUAAAGCGUACGUAGGCGGAUCGUUAAGUCAGGGGUGAAAGCCUGGAGCUCAACUCCAGAACUGCCUUUGAUACUGGCGAUCUUGAGACCGGGAGAGGUGAGUGGAACUGCUAGUGUAGAGGUGAAAUUCGUAGAUAUUAGCAAGAACACCAGUGGCGAAGGCGGCUCACUGGCCCGGUACUGACGCUGAGGUACGAAAGCGUGGGGAGCAAACAGG